UUGCACAUGGGUUAGUCG
rnacentral:snRNA from 1 species